UUAUUUUUUGUUUAACAACAAUCUUGACAAUUCGAAACUAUUUCUUAAUUAGUUCUGCAUGACACUUUUUAAAAGGCGCAAACUUUGAAACGCGCGAGACGUUGGAAAGUGAAUCGGUAGAAUUGGAAGAUUAUUAGCGUAUAUCUAGUCAUUCUUUGUCAACCUUUGAAGAAAAUAACAGAAUACGAAGAAGGAAUAUCCAGAGGAUCAAUUUACUUCAUAACUGCAGAUAUUAAUGGGAAAAGAGAAGCAGUUCACAGAUAAUGUUGAUGAGUUGAGAUCAGAAGAUUAAAAAAACUCUGGCUGCCAAAAAAAAAAAAAAAAAAAUCCAGGAUCUUGAAGAAAAACAAAAGAAAUGGAUGAAAAUAUGAAUCGUAAUCGAUCAAAGUAUCCAAGUGAUGAAAUUCUGAAAAUUCCACAGGGAAAGCCAAUAAGAUUUUUUUUAUUUGACCACCUCAUCUCAAAAUCCUUGAAAGCCCUUUUAGCUGAUGCCCUAAUUGCUGAACACACUUUUCUGCCAGACAGUGAGACUUGGAUUAAAAAUCAUUCCAUUUUAGGCAUACACUCUGAAAUACGCUGAAUAAGGAACCCACACUCCUCUUGACCAAGUAAGGUUAAGGAUUCUGCAAAGAGUCGUGUUUGAAUUAAAUUUUUCAUAAUUUUACUAAGAAUGAACUACAUAAUUUAUUUAUUAUCGAUAUCACUU